GAUGAACGCUAGCUACAGGCUUAACACAUGCAAGUCGAGGGGUAACGAGAGGAAAGCUUGCUUUCCUUGUCGACGACCGGCGCACGGGUGAGUAACGCGUAUCAAACCUGCCCCCAACUAGGGAAUAACCUUGCGAAAGUAAGACUAAUACCCUAUAAUUUCCUCAGAUGACAUCUGACGAGGAAUAAAGAUUUAUCGGUUGUGGAUGGGGAUGCGUCUGAUUAGCUUGUUGGCGGGGUAACGGCCCACCAAGGCAACGAUCAGUAGGGGUUCUGAGAGGAAGGUCCCACACAUUGGAACUGAGACACGGUCCAAACUCCUACGGGAGGCAGCAGUGAGGAAUAUUGGUCAAUGGGCGGAAGCCUGAACCAGCCAAGUAGCGUGCAGGAUGACGGCCCUAUGGGUUGUAAACUGCUUUUAUACAGGAAUAAAGUUAGCCACGUGUGGUUAUUUGUAGGUACUGUAUGAAUAAGGACCGGCUAAUUCCGUGCCAGCCGCCGCGGUAA
rnacentral:rRNA from 1 species